CAGUCGCCGCGGUAAUACAGAGGGUGCAAGCGUUAAUCGGAUUUACUGGGCGUAAAGCGCGCGUAGGUGGCCAAUUAAGUCAAAUGUGAAAUCCCCGAGCUUAACUUGGGAAUUGCAUUCGAUACUGGUUGGCUAGAGUAUGGGAGAGGAUGGUAGAAUUCCAGGUGUAGCGGUGAAAUGCGUAGAGAUCUGGAGGAAUACCGAUGGCGAAGGCAGCCAUCUGGCCUAAUACUGACACUGAGGUGCGAAAGCAUGGGGAGCAAACAGGAUUAGAUACCCGCGUAGUCCCUGUCUCUUAUAC
rnacentral:rRNA from 1 species